UUUUUUUUUUUUUUUUUAUUCUGUUUAUUCAUGAGAGACACAGAAAGAGAGGCAGAGACACAGGCAGAAGGAGAAGCAGCUCCAUGCAGGGAGCCUGACGUGGGACUCGAUCCCAGGACUCCAGGAUCAGGCCCUGGGCUGAAAGCGGGCGCUAAACCGCUGAGCCACCCACGAGCCCCUAUUCCUGUCAUUUUCAAAAUAUUUUAUAAACACAACUGAAAAGCAAUCUUUUUGGUUCCAUUAAAUGCUAGGAUGAGGACUGUAACUUGAGGACUUCAGAAGGACACACCUUUUCCAAAUUAGCAGGACAAGCAAGGAACAAAAUAAGAGGGUUGGUUAAAUCAUGGGCUCAGGGUUCCCAGCCUGGCAGAGAGCUUUCCAGGGAAUGCAAAGAGAGGCAGAAAUAGAAGCAAUAUUUGGAUGGGGUUAAACUGUAUUUUUCUUUCCCCAAGAGAAGAUGUGGCUAUCAACUGCCUACUACAGUUCACCAAACUAGCACGUGUAUGAUACAAACAGCUGCUAAAACCAGAGCAUGUGACAAAUUCUUAACUUGGCUUGGCAUUCUUGUCUCAGAAAAUAGAGGAAGCAAGGAAGGUAAACCCGGGGUAAACCCCGGGUUUAUGUUUGGUGAGGCAGAAGUAAUGUGUGGGUGAUAUAGAAGGGUGGAUGGGGUCCUGGAGAAUAAAGCAUAUGUUUCACCUUACCCUUGUUGACUCAAAACACCCACAAAAUAUGUCAAAAAAUUUAUCAAAAAGAUACAUACAAUGAAUGAGGUCUGUGAUUUGCUUCAAAAUCAUCCAAUGGCAGCAGGGAAUAGGUGGAGAAUGGGAGGUGAGGGUAUAGAAAUUACUGGAAUGUCUAUAAGCUGGUCAUUGUUGAUAUGAAGUGUUAGAUCCAUGGGGGUUCAUUAUGCUACUCUCUCUAUUUGUGUAUGUUUGACAUUUCCCAUAAUAAUAAGUAAAACAAAACAAAAUAACAUAUGACUCAUUCCAAGGCUAAAAAAAAAAAAAAAACUUUAAAAGGAAGAAUGACUUUAAAAUAUGACAAACUUUCAGAAAAGAAACAGCUUAUUGAUAGAGGCACAAACAAUCCCAUUUAGGGAGAAAAUGUGUGUUUUUGGAGUGUGGGGUGAGAAGGCAGCAUCUAAAGCAGUGUGACUCAAGUAGGAGCCAUUUGGAAAUUUGUGGGGACAUUUUUACUUAUUGUAAUCCCUGGCAAGGCUGGCUCUCAGUGCUAGAAGGCCAGGAAUGCUAAAACUUUCAUCCGAGGAGCCCACAACUGUUUCCUCAAUGCCAGUAGUGCCCCCACCGAACAGCACUGAUGGAGGAGACCAAGGACCAAAGUGAUCAUUGAGAUGCUCUUCUUAUUAAUCUGAUCUUAAAAUCAGACUGUGGUCCAUAAAAUCAUGGUCCAUGAAUGGGAAGGAUAAAUAGUAAAGGUGGAAUGAGAAAGGCCCACAUGGAAUUGUAAAAAGUGAGUCAAGAAAGCCAAAGACCGAGUGGUCAGCAGUAUCUUUAGGUACAACAAGAAUAUAACAUUUACAGGUUUCAGAA
rnacentral:lncRNA from 1 species